GACGAACGCUGGCGGCGUGCCUAACACAUGCAAGUCGAACGGGGUAAGAAGCUUCGGUUUCUUACUUAGUGGCGAACGGGUGAGUAACGCGUGAGAAACCUGCCUUUCAGUGGGGGACAACAGUUGGAAACGACUGCUAAUACCGCAUAAUGUUAUUUGAGGGCAUCCUCGGAUAACCAAAGAUUUAUUGCUGAAAGAUGGUCUCGCGUCUGAUUAGCUAGAUGGCGGGGUAACGGCCCACCAUGGCGACGAUCAGUAGCCGGUCUGAGAGGCUGAACGGCCACAUUGGGACUGAGAGACGGCCCAGACUCCUACGGGAGGCAGCAGUGGGGAAUGUUGGGCAAUGGGGGAAACCCUGACACAGCAACGCCGCGUGAAGGAAGAAGGCCUUCGGGUUGUAAACUUCUUUUACCAGGGACGAACAAAUGACGGUACCUGGAGAAAAAGCAACGGCUAACUACGUGCCAGCCGCCGCAGUAAAAC
rnacentral:rRNA from 1 species